CAUGACGAAAUUUAUUUGAAACAGUUGUUGUUUUUCACAUUUCAUAUUUUAACAUCUUUUUGCCAAAAUGGCUUUAAGAAACACCAAAAUUGUCCGUGAACUUCUUUCAAAUAAUUACAAAUGUUUUUCGAACAGAGCUGAAAUAAUUUCACCAUUUUCAAAUAACAAAGGAAACGAAAUCACUGAAACUGAAAUUGAACAUGAAGGAAAUAAUGAGUCGGCUCCAUUUCGCUAUAUUGUAACCCAUACACAACGCCCCAGUGUUCUGCCAAAAAUUGAGUUUCCUAAGAAAGAACCGGAAGAACUUAUACCACCCGAAAUGAGAUAUUUGCAACCGUCCAUGUUACCCAAAUUCAUGGAACUACGAGAAGUGAAAAGUGAAGUUGAAUGGGAGCCGUUAGUAACUGAGAAUAAAGAACUGGAAUGUCCAUUCCCUGAACCCAUAAGAGAAUUGAGAACGAAAACUCUCACUGUGUCUGACAUGAAGAAAGCGGAACUGAAAUCCCCGAGCAUCAACGUCAAUUUCAAAAACAACAACUUCAGUAUCAUCAACCGCAAUUAUUCCACUUCGCCGUAUCUCAUCGUAUCCAGAACUUAUGCGAAAACUAGUAAGAAAGGAAAUGAGAAGUGUGAAGAUGCCCCGAAAAAAAAAUGCGUGAAGAACACAGGAUGCCCCUCAUUUAUUAUGAGAGACUGUCCAGUUGGGAAACCAAAAUCUGAUUGUUUUCAUCAUUACACGGAUCCAAAAUGUACUAAAAAGUUGGCUCCUUAUCCAAGUUAUAGUGAAUCGUGUGCUGAAAGGUUAGAAGAUGAUCCAUCUGAAUGCAUGCAGUGUCCGUGGCAAAAAUGUGGGGGAGUUGAAAGCAUCAAACCACCCAGGAGGAGUUACCAUACUUCGAUCGCUGGCCGACAGAAUUUGAAUUCACUACCAGGAUAUGUUAUUAACGAUGUGAACUUUAUGCCAUCGAAGGAAUGUAACACCAAAAAGGAACCUUGCAAACGACCGCCUGGUAAAUGUGAGAAAAGAGGGGAAAAGAAAAAAGAAAAAUGUCCCGAGAAGAAAAAGAAAUGUGAUGGGUGGACGUCCGCUUAUGGAUUUUGGAGUGCAAAGGAAAAUAUAUUACCAUCUGAUCCUUGGCUAGAUAUCGAGUCGGAUACGAUAGGAAAUUCGUUGAAUUGCGAAGGUUUUAAGAAGUUUCCGUAUGACAAAAGUCAAGCUGACUAUGAUGAAGUGAGCAAAAGGAAAUGCCAAACCAAAAAGAAUCCCAAAUGCCAACGCAAAAAGAGGAAAACCGUUCCUGAUGGCUGCAUAUCGGAUGGUUGCCACCAAAAAUGCAUGUGUCAUAAUUCACAAAUAAUAGGUUUUGAAAUGGGUAAAAAUAGCAAUCGGUCAGAUGAAAAGAAAAAAUGUCCGACCAGGGAAAGAAAAUGUCCGGUAGUAGAUACCACAGUGGAUAUGAAUUUGAGGCUGGAUAAGAUUAAAAAUAGAAGUCACCCUCCUCCUUGCCCCACUCAUAAGAAACCGAGCAGGCAGUGCCCAAAAGAAGAGAAACAUAAAAAACCAUAUAGACAAGAACGUGAUUUGAAUACACCAUACUAUCGAAAAAAUAAGGAACCAUACAUUGAUGAUCAAUAAUAUCAUUCCACAGUUUUUUGAAACGUUUAAUUUUACGGAGAAAUUUAGGUCACGAUGAUAUUUCACAUGUCAAAUUGUUACUUUCCCAAAUUUGUUCCUACCUUGAAGAAGAUCUGAAAUAUUGGGAAACCGUGAGUCAUCUCUGGUUUCAAGAUGUUUCAUGGACCGCACGGAGCUCAUUAGCUCAAGCAAAGCUAUCGAUACUGUUUCAUCAGAUUGGAUAGUGAGAAAUUGUUUAGAAAACUUGGAGUGGAUGACUAUUUAUCUAUUUAUGGACCAACAGGGCCACGACAAUUAGAUUUCGUAGCUCGAAGCGUUAGAACAAUGAUGUGGUAACAAUAUGGUGCCCCUUUCCAUAAUUCGCAACCAUCUUGAUGAUAGAUGCUAAGAGAUUGAUUGAAAAAAAGGAUCCAAUGCGUUAGCCAGCCGGUUCUCCCCCUUUUUUUUGUGAGGCUGUGUAAAAAGAAUUGUACAUGAAGUGCCUUCAGUAGAUUAGAAAGAUCUCAAGAAUCAAAUGUGACGUGCAUUGUCAUAACAUCAUAUCAGCUAUGAUUACAUUUGUCUGAAGUUGAGAGACAAUAUGAGGCUUAUCAUCUAAAGAUGAAUUUGAGGCUGGAUGAGAUUAAAAAUAGAAGUCACCCUCCUCCUUGCCCCACUCAUAAGAAACCAAGCAGGCAGUGUCCAAAAGAAGAGAAACAUAAACCACCAUAUAGACAAGAACGUGAUUUGAAUACACCACACUAUCGAAAAAAUAAGCAACCAUACCCUGAUCAUUAACACUAUCUUUCUACAUCUUUGUGAAACGUUCCAUUUCAUGGAGACAUUUUGGCCACGAUAAUUUUUCACGUAUGUCACAUUCUUACUUUCACAAUUUUGUGCCUACCUUGAAUAUGAUCAGAAAUAUCGGAAACUUUGAUUCAUCCACCGGUUUCAAGAUAUUUCAUAGGCCGUACGGAGCUCAUCUCAAGCAAAUAUAUUGAUACUGUUUCAUUAGACUGGAUAGUGAGGAAUUGUGUGGAAUUGUGUGGAAAUGAAGGUUGUUUGCCUACUUAUGGUAGGCGAUCAUGACAUCGGAGACACUUCAGCUGUACCAUAUGACGAUACAAAAGUAUGUGAACUGUACCUUUGCUCAAAAUGGAAUUGAAGCAAUAAUGCACCUAAAAAAUAAAGAACAGUGAAAUAGUA